rnacentral:rRNA from 1 species
CAUACGCGUUCAGAGUUUGAUCCUGGCUCAGGAUGAACGCUAGCGACAGGCCUAACACAUGCAAGUCGAGGGGCAGCGGGGAUGAAGCUUGCUUCAUCUGCCGGCGACCGGCGCACGGGUGAGUAACACGUAUGCAACCUGCCCGCCACAGGGGGAUAAACGCUGGAAACGGCGCCUAAUACCCCAUACUAUCGCUAUGCUGCAUGGCAUGGCGAUGAAAACUCCGGUGGUGGCGGAUGGGCAUGCGGCGCAUUAGCUAGUUGGAGGGGUAACGGCCCACCAAGGCGACGAUGCGUAGGGGUUCUGAGAGGGUGAACGGCCACAAGGGGACUGAGACACGGCCCUU